UACGGAGGGUGCAAGCGUUAUCCGGAUUCACUGGGUUUAAAGGGUGCGUAGGCGGGUAGGUAAGUCAGUGGUGAAAUCUCAGAGCUUAACUCUGAAACUGCCAUUGAUACUAUCUAUCUUGAAUGUUCUGGAGGUGAGCGGAAUAUGUCAUGUAGCGGUGAAAAUGCUUAGAUAUGACAUAGAACACCAAUUGCGUAGGCAGCUCACUACGGAAAUAUUGACGCUGAGGCACGAAAGCGUGAGGAUCAAAACAGG
rnacentral:rRNA from 1 species